rnacentral:lncRNA from 1 species
GGGGCCAACGCCGCGCGCGCCUGGUUGAUGGGAUCGACCAAAGGUACGGUCCACUCGUGCACGCGAGCCACAUCGAUGGCUACUUGCACCUUACGUGCGAGCGCAAGGGCAGGGCCGCGGCACAUGGCCAUGCAGUCGUGCGACGGCGCAUUGUCCACCGGUUUGGCGAGGCCCUUUGCAAACGCCCCUAGAGCGAUCGUGGCGAUUGCUGCAUAGUCGCGCGAUGGUCGUCGAGUCGUGUGGCACAGCCACCACGACUUUGCGCCACCGUUGGCCAGGACAUGAGUGUGCUGGUCGGCGCGGCGUCGGAUCUCGGUGCACGCCCGCUUUAACAGCGGCGCAGAACAUGUUUGACCUGCCGCACGGGCAAUGUUUAUGACGGGCAUCCAUUGAUCGCUCUCAGCAACGUGUACGACCGCCAGCGCGGCAACGUCUGUUGGCGUUGCUACGUAGGCGCUUCCGUUGGCAAUGCGAAGGAGCCACGCGCUAACGGGUCCGAGUGCCGGGCGUGCGCGCACCUUUUUCCUCAAUUGAGUGUAGGAGCGGCCUAGGGCCUCGACGCGCGAGGCGAUGGCCAGACAGCGGUCCACGGCAUCGGCGUCGCCUCCCAUGGUCACGGCAUCGACGAGCGCCUUGCGGAGAGGAAACACACCGCACCUGCGCUCAAGCGCCCUGAUGAUGUGAGCAGGCACGGUGGACGGCUGAACCCUGGCAGUGGCGAGAUGGAAAAGAGUUUCGGCCGCCUCGACGGCCUUCUCGGCGCGACGCAGCCUUGCGCCCAGGGCAUAUUGUUUGACUUUUUCGUCGGUCGCAUCGACCAACAGUGGACGGUCCAGGCCCAUGCAGGUUGAACUGAGCGAGAUGGCCCGGCCAAUGCGCACGGUCGGCGCCUCCUCUGCCUCUGGGGCCUCGGCGACGAUUGUGAGUACCUUGACCGCCAUGCCCACUGUCGGCUCGACAGCCCUGGAAAGCAGGUCGACUGAAAGGGUCUCGCGCAUCCUUGUGACUCUGCCAUAGGCGGUGGCGCCCCUGGUGAAUUCGACACCCCUGUCGCACUCCAUUUUGUUUUCUGGUCACAACAGGCAAUGAAUACUGGCGAGCCAAAGGUUGUCC